GAUGAACGCUAGCGGCAGGCCUAAUACAUGCAAGCCGAACGGCAAGUCUUUUAGCAAUAGAAGACCUAGAGUGGCGUAAGGGUGCGUAACACGUAUGCAAUCUGCCCUCAACAGGAGGAUAGCUCCCCGAAAGGGGAAUUAAGCCUCCAUAGGAUCGUAAUGUGGCAUCACAUAGCGAUUAAACUACCAGGGGUUGAGGAUGAGCAUGCGCAUGAUUAGUUAGUUGGCGGGGUAACGGCCCACCAAGACGAUGAUCAUUAGGGGAACUGAGAGGUUGAUCCCCCACACUGGCACUGAGAUACGGGCCGAGACUCCUACGGGAGGGCAGCAGUAGGGGAAUAUUGGACGAAAUGGGUGGCAAGCCUGAUCCACGCCACUGCC
rnacentral:rRNA from 1 species